rnacentral:rRNA from 1 species
AUGGAGCGUGUUGAGGGCUUGAUGAAGGGGCUAAAGUUGUCGGAUCUGGAAAGCAAGGGGAGGAAGAUCAUUUGGAUAGAUGGAAGAAAGGGGGGAGCUGUGGAACCACAAGCAAUGGCAAAAUUAAUGUCAGACAAACCGGCCUUUGCAGAGGGGAUGGAGACUGCUCUGGGAAGGAUCUGGUGUCCGAUGAGGGGGAUACGAUGCAAGGAUCUGGGAGACAACAUAUUCAUGAUCACGUUCCACCAACAGUCAGGUAAAAGAAGGGCUCUAGAUGAAGGGCCUUGGACAUUCGGGAAGUCUCUGCUGGUGGUUGAAGAUUUUGAUCCGAGCAAGAGUGUGAAGGAAUAUGAAUUCAAAACGAUUCUGAUAUGGGUUAGAGUUUUUGACUUGCCGCUAGGUAUGAUGCACCGUGAG